rnacentral:pre_miRNA from 1 species
UUUAAGUGCAUUUGUAAGUUUCUGUGUUCAAUAUUUAACUGUCCAUCUUAUUUAAAAAAAUAGAAAAAUAAGUUAAAAAAUAUUAUUCAUGUUUUAUCAUCUGAUAACAAUAAAAAUACUAAUUGUAAACAAAAUUCAAAUAAGAUGGAUGAUCAAACGUUGGGCAUCGAAACCAUAGCUGUACUUAAA